AGUACCUAGAUUAACAACCUUGCCCUCUAGAGUUUUUCAGGGGAGCCUAUUCAGUCACAGAUGGCAGCCUAUAGGGGUCUAUGCAUUUAAACAGUCUAACUACAGUACCACAGAAAGAUUGGAAUGGGAAGAGCAAAGUUCUUCUCUACUUUCUUCAGAUGAAAAAAUUCUAAUGCUAAGUGACAUUUGAACCUGCUCUUGAGAAACCAUUCCUCAGGUCCCAAGAAGUACAUUAUGGACUCUCUUCACAUGUGAUAAUUCUCUGGCCUGGCUAGUAUUAGAGGACUGGCAGCCAGGGCAUUACAACAACCAACCCAGAGGUUAAGAGUACAACAGACUAUCCCCAGGGACAGUAGAGGUUACUAGGAAAGGAGUAAUAAGUAAUUGCCCUCACCUCCUUUAAGGUGGUAUCAGUUGAGGCCCAGUGGAAAGUCUGAAUUACUACCUUCACCUGGCAAAUUACAAAGGUGAAUCGCUCCCUUCCACAACUAAGUAGAUAAUAAAGAAAGCCUGCUAACAAGAGAGGAUGCCAAGAUCUGAUGCCUAGCUUAGUGCAAGAGUGCUUGUCUAGCAGGUGAGGCCCUGGGGUUGAUUUCCAUCAAAUGACAAACAAACCAAAUGAAUGGGUGAAUAACAAAAAAGGAAGUUUCCAGAGUCUAAUAAUACUGAAACAUUCAGGCCCCAGUAAAAAAUAUAUCUGUGAUACCUACUCUUGGCUACCAACUUACUUCAUGGGACUCAAGAAUCAUUAUGGAAACAAAAGCUCUCACAUGUCUGCAAAAGGUUUUCUAGAUUAGGUGACUGAGGUAGGAAGACCCUCCCAGGAUGUAGGGGCACCAACCCACACACUGGAAUCCUGGACUGAAUAAAAAGCAGAAUGAAUGGGCAGCAGAAUUCACUGCUGUUUCUAAACAAGGAUGCAUGCAACUAGCUGCCUCACACUCCUUUCUGCCAGGACUUCCAUGCCAUGAGACUAUCCAUCAAAUUGGAGCCAAAAUAAACUCUUAAAUCACCUUGCCAGGCAUUCUGUCUCACCACCAAGUAACUAAUGCAGUAAACACAAUGAAAACUUAACUGACAGGCUCAAGGAGAAAAGAGGAGAAUCAACAAUCAAGACAAAUAUUACCCAACAAAAAAGAAACAGAUGGAGGAGGAAGGCAGUUAUUUCAGGUCCAACUGACAAAAUCUGUAACAAAAAUUUCAGUAUUUCAGAGUAGGGAUAAAAUAAGACCAGCACUGUAUGUGUGUCAAAAAUACCUAAUAUAUCAAUAAUGAGAAUUAGUGUCUCAAAGUGAGGGAAGAAAACAAUAUCAUUAGUGUUAUAGUAUGAGACAAAAUAUUUCUCUAAUAUAUAAUUCUACUGCAGAUUCCAGAUCAGUGAACUACAAAUAAGUUAAACCAAAGAAAGUCCCAUCUACCCAAAUCACACUCAAACCUCAAACUAAAACAGAGUCCUAUUCAAUCUGAAAACUAAAGGAAAAACUUUGAAAGCAUUCAGGACAGAACACAGUUACAGUUAUACCAAAAAAAAAGGGGGGGGGGGGGACCAGACUUAAUGACAGAAUAUUCCACAUUAGAACCUAUGCAGGCCAGAGAAAGGGCAAAUAUUUUCAAGUAAUGGGGGAGUGGUGACAUUGUAAAGCCAGAAAUAUGUAUUUAAUGAAUCUAUUCUUCUAAAGAGAAAAAUGAAGAAAAAACAAGAGAAUCUGUCAGUGGUAGACCUCUAAUGGAUGGCUGCAGGAAGUUUCCUGGACAGAAAGGAAAUGCUUAGGAUGGCACCCUGAAAUGAGGAAUGGAAAAACAAAAAAGCAACGGGAGAUUUGAAGUUUGGGGUAGGUGAGAUGGUAAAAACACUUGCCACACAAGCCUAGCCUGAGCUCAGUGUGAGGAACCCAAGUAAAGGAGGAAGAUGACAAGUGACUACGCAAAGUUGCCCUCGGACCUCCUCUUUUGCUAAAAUGUAUUUGUGAGAAAAUAAACAAGAUAUUCUGGAGGUGGUAAAUUCUAAUCUCCCAAGUGA